GCCGGAGUGGCGGAAUGGCAGACGCGCUAGACUCAAAAUCUGGUGUCCGCAAGGGCGUGUGGGUUCGAGUCCCACCUCCGGUACCA
rnacentral:tRNA from 1 species